AUAAAAAAAACCCCGCAGACGAUCUGCGGGGUGCCUUUAGGAUUAGUAAACAAUCACUAUCGUUAAGGCGAUGGGAGAGGAGAAACCGGAGGAAGAACUUAUGGGGAAGUAAGUCUUCUCCGCGG
rfam:Fictibacillus enclensis strain NIO-1003 genomic scaffold Scaffold1, whole genome shotgun sequence.